UUCUCCCUCGCUGUGACUCCUCUCUCUCUCUGUAACAGAUCAUGCAUACAGAUUAAGUUUCAUCUCGAACUGAUUGCAAAGUUUUCACUCAUAUUCAGCUUGAAGAUCUGAGGUUCCUGUUUGCGUCUUUGGCGGCGAAUUAUCGUUCGGUUUUUCAGAUAGAGGUUUUUCUCUUCUUCUUUUCUGUGUUGGAAGUGUAGUGCCUGCCUCUGUCUUUCUCCGUCUGGAAGCUGUGGUAGAAAAGAGAAGAAGAGAGAUUGAAAUCGUUCUAAAUAUUGUUCACUGGAAUAUCUAGGAAAGAAGAAUAGGGACUGAAAUCGGUAAGAUUCCAGAAUUUGAAGCUUUGAUUUGAUAAUUUUGUCGCGCGAUUGUCACGGUCGAUUGUACUUGGAUCUCAGUAUUGUGUUAUUAUGGGUUUUCGGUUUGAUCUGUUGUUUGGUUGUCUUCCGCAGUUCUAAAUAUUGUUCAUUGGAAUAUUUGGGUGUUUUUGCUCUGUUGAAUCACCUUUCGUUCUUAUAAUGUCAUAUUUUUGGUAUGCUGGGUUUUGAGAAAUAAGAUAGCUACAAAGAAAGUAUGCAAUUUAUUGAUCAUAUUUGGUAUGCUGCGUUUUGAUCCUCAAGGAUUAGACUUUGCAAUUAGAAGUGGAGAUUAUUGUUUUUACUGUUUUUUUCUUUCUUUAUUUGUUUUUAGGUAUUAAAAAUGUAAUUUGUUGUUUUUAUGUAGUUUAGACUGGAAAGUUGUAUAUGGUGGGAUAUUGAGCUUAUGUAUCAUUGUUGCUGUAUUUAUUUGAUGUGAAAUUUGGGAUUUUGUGAUCAAAAGAUUAGUUAUUAUAUCAAUGCUUUAUGAUACUACUUGCAUUAAGUGGAGGUUUUUUCGGCCAGAUCACCUUAGUGACUUAGUCAUGCUCAAUUUUGUGGUGUACUGAUGAAACUACCGUCAUUGUUUGGUGGCAGAUGAACGGAUGAAUUAGCUAGAUUUUGACCGGAAACCUCACUGUGAGUGACUAAGUACUUCAGCUUCAGCUUUCUUUGUCCAUAUAAUAUAUGUCUGGGAUUUAAAGCCAAUUAACUUGAAACAGACCAUGUUGGCAGUAGAUUGCCACGUUGGAUUCCACGCAAAUUUGAUAUCCGGAACCAGUUUCUAUAUAAACGGUGCUUUAAGAUGAACACCUACUGUCUCUAAUCCAUUUUCUGUCUAAUAUACAAUAUUCAUAAACAUCCCUAGGCUAAUUAAAAGCUCUAUACAUGUAUGAAUGCAUCUUCAGUUUAAUUAAAAAGUCCCCGGGAUUCUUCCUUAAUGAUCAGCUAAUUUCUUACCAUUAGACUGUUAAUUAUUGUGCUUCAACGUCUAACUAAUGUAAAAAUGGAGGCAUAGUGUUCAAUUGCAGCAAAGUAGUAUACUCCCCUCAUUUGCCAGUAACUGAUGUUCUGUUGUGUUUUAUCAUUGCACUGUUUCUAAUUACCAAUCGCACAAAUGUCCAAGGAUGUGGUGCUUAUCCGACUAUAAUCUCUGAUCCUUUUCUUUUUUCAAUCAAAUUACUUUUCCUUGAUACAGAAGCAUCUGCAGAACUGUGGUUAAUUGAACUUUAGUUGUUUAUCUGCAUUUGCUUUUCAAUCCACAUAUAAUCGUGUCAUUCCAUUCAUGUUCCCCUUACCUUCUCUAAACUAUUUUACUUCUAUGAAUAAGAAAAAUUAACCUCAAAUAUAAUAAUGAUAUUCUUACUAAU